UUUAUUUUUUGAGAAAGAAUACAGAACUGAAUCCUACCUUGUAGCUUAACCCUUUAAUUAAAGCAAAAAUUUCAUUUAUUUUUAUAUCUUCUGUUUAUGAAAUCAAGCAUGCAAAGCUUUUCUAUGUAUUUUUAGUCUGAUUUGUAGAAGUGAGGAGGAGAAAUUCUUUCUGUGAUGCAAAAAGGGUGUGACAAAGCAGUCUAUAUAACGUGUCUAUGUUUCAGUGUAAGUGAAGCUGAAACUACAGCAAAAACUUGAUUCACUGGUCUGAAGUGACUUUACUCUGAAGUGGAUUUUCAGUUGAAGAGAGGAAAGUAUGGCAUGCAUGGAUGGAUUUGCAGAUGACUUCUGCACAGUUUUUGAAUCCUCCUUGGAGCUUGACAAACGGAGACGUAGUAGGACGUACAUCAUGUACCAUGGUACCACAGGAACAGCUGCAUUAAGUAUUAAGAAGCACGGAUUUCAGCGGUCCACAGAUGGCAUGCUUGGACCUGGAGUCUAUGUCAGUCGGAGCUUUCAGAAGGCCAGAGUCUUCCCGGCAAACCUACCCGUAGGUGAGCAGAGAGCUGUACUCAAUCUGAGGGUUAGAGUAGGAAAAGUAAAGAAGAUCGACCGGCAGGGACACCCCCUCCAAAAAACCUGGCAUCAGCAUGGAUAUGACACAGCCUGGGUGCCACCCAACUGCGGAAUGGUUCCUAUUGGCAUGGAGGAAGAUUGUGUUUGGGAUCCCAGGAGGAUCAAGGUUUUAGAUAUAAUCUAUGUGUAGUUAUUUAAACAGACAUACAGAUUAUUCAUUUC